GGCGGUCAGUUAGGAUGAAAUCGAACGAUAGUUACGUAUGUAACUACGGUUCUAUGAAUCCUGGCUGACCGCCAGAGCGCUCUGUCACUCAGAAUCCUUGUGUACUCGCGAGAAGCUUCUGCAGGAACGGAUCCUCUGAUGUCACCGGAAGAUAUAGGCUGUCCAGAGCUCAUCAGGGGUCACAGGUGACUUUGUUUAUAUUAGGUACUCGAACUGUGCAUGCGCGAGACGGAUAAAUCCAGUGCUUGAAGCACGGUCAGUAAGGAUGAAAUAGAACCGACUCAUCGUGCUCCCAUUCACCAUAUAAGUGUUAAAAGGUUGUAUCAGCGAUGUAUAAAGUGAAAAAACCCACAACACCCACCCAUUGUCGGUGAUUGGUUGGAAUACUAUUUAUUUUGGUUUUUAGUGGUUUGUAGUACCAUGCUUAUGGGGCGGACAGCUAGCGGAUCGUGAGGAAAGAAAUGAAAACUAGAGAAGACCACUGUCUGCAGUGUCCUCUCCACGAAACCGAACGACGAAGGGACCUGAACGGCAGAGGAAAUGGAACUUGACCAAAUGUGAGGCCUGGGUCUUUGGAAGAUGCUGGCCUUAAUGGAAACCGAUCCCUUAACAGUCAUUCUAGGUGACUGAGAACCAGGAUUGCCGAAACGUUGGCAUGGUCGUCUGCAGCGCUUGCCAACACUUGGUGAUGCUUUGCUAGAGCCAGAGCUUUGAAGCGACUCUUCGGAAGAGGAGCGUGACGGGUACACCCUCCAUGUAGCUUGCUUGACAUGGCUCUGUGACGGUUAUCCUGGGAUAACGUGACCUGCUGUUGAUGUUGCUGCAGGAGCCCUUGUUGAAUUCUUGAGUGCAACUUUCGCCCAGCCAAUGGCUUCCCUGUUUCCAAUAGGUUGAGGCUUUUGUUCAGUUUUUUUUUUUACAGAAUAUUAAUUGAACAUUUAAUUGUGUCUCUUUGUAACAUUUAUGUACCGCUCUCAAAUGGUAACUGUUGAUCGAGUUUGCAACUUGUACAAAAUAAACUUGAUGUUGCCUAAAUGAUUGUGGUCCCCCCCUAUUUCUUCCACUUAUUAAGGCUAUACUAGAUUCCUGUGUGUCUGGACAUUGAAAUAUGCUUGUAUAAAAGAUCCAGUAGUUAAAAGGUUAGCUUUAUCCAUGGCUAGCUGUGAUUCACCUGGUCAUUUCUUAUAGACAUUGCAUAAAGUGGCGUGGUGAUGAACGAAUCAGUUGUAUUUGGCAUUUGCACGGAAAAUACUUUGUGUGGAUGUAAUAUGUAAAUUGGGCCUACG
ensembl:lncRNA